CUGUAGUUUAUGCAAAGAGCAACUUAGAAAGAGGUGAAGAAAGAAGAAGAUGUCAAACCAUACCUUAUCACCUCAGAAUUUUACGUUUAAUAACCAAGUGGAUUACUUUACUUGGUUGGACCUGUUUUUAUAGCUAUAUUUCAACCUUUCCUCUGAUAGCUUUUAACGAUUGGAUUUCUCGAGUCUACUUUCCAUGCUUUGACCAUUUCAUUUGGCAGAGGGUUCUGGGUUUUGGAGAAUUCUUCAUUAAAUUGAAUUUUUUGUGAUUAAAUUUCUGGCUUAAGUAGCGGUUUUUGAGGUUGUGGUCUCCAAAAAAAGUUGAUGCAGGUUUCCUUUCUAUGAACCUGAUUUUGGAUGGGGAAAGCCACCAUGGGUGACUUCAGGUACGGAGUUCAAGAAUCUGAUUGUGUUAAUGGAUACACGAGAUGGAGAUGGCAUAGAAGUAUCCUUGAAUCUCAAGGAAGAAGACCUGGCCAUAUUUGAAAGCACUAAGGAGCUGCUUGAGGUGCUAAUGUGCCUCCACCAUUCAAUUCAUUUGAAUCUACUGGUCUCCCAUAUGAGAUUCAGAGGUUUUGAGCUUCCACAAAUUUCAAGGCGUUCAAACUUUACUCUCGAAUGAAAUGGAUCAAUUUGUUUGCAGCUUGAAGAUUUUUACUUUCACCAAGUUUAUCUUCAACUCCAGGCUUUGAAAUACAAUGUUGUUCUAGGCUGUCAUCUAGAUUCCCAAUCACAUGUUUCCACGGCGGUUUCAAAGAGGUCCUUGAGACGAUCAGAUGCUGUACUCAGCAGCCACCAUUAUAAUAAGGUAAUUACUAUAAAUACAAAUGGAUGGUGCAUACAAAUUACUAUAACUUCAAGAAAAAACAAAACAGACCCAGAUACCAAUUCACUUCAGUCCUCAAACAUCUCGAUCCAUUCCAGCUUUUUCUCUUCCUUGCAUGGAGAGCUGUACAAGGCACUUUCUGCAAUUUAUUGCAAAAUAAUGUCAGUUAUCCCUUCUUUGGAUACAACUCAAACUGGGAGCAAGUCUGGUAUCCAAGCUUUACGUUCGUUGCAUGUAGCACAUGAAAAGUCUAAGAAUGUAGUAAGCUUUAUUUGGCAGGUAUUCCCUCAAUAGUUAAGGAAACAAUUAUUUUCCCCUUUCUGCUUUGAAGGAAUAGAAUUCUCUUUAGAUGUUUAAAUUUGUUUCAUUCAUGAUGAGGUUGUGUAUAAAUUGCAUUUGCAUUUGUAACUCAGUUUUUGACUCGAACAUUGUUUAUAAAGAUUGCAGGUGCAUAAUUUUUCAUAUAA